rfam:Danio rerio chromosome 4, GRCz11 reference primary assembly.
GCAUUGGUGGUUCAGUGGUAGAAUUCUUGCCUGCCACGCGGGAGACCCGGGUCCGAUUCCCGGUCAAUGCA